CGGCGACUCUGCAGGAGCCCUGGAGGGGCUGAGGGGCAGAGCAGGCGUGGCGUCCUGAGGCCGCAUGGGGGCAAGGGACGACGCUGUGUGGGGCAGGACUCCGAGUUAAAGUCAGAGAGACGAUGGAUGGAUGGCACAGACAGAGAGAGACAUGGAGAGGUGGGGCCCGGCUCGGAGAGAAAUUUAUUAUCGCCCUGCAGACCAGUCAGAGACUCAGGCAGCGUUUGGUGAUGGCCAUUACUGGGAGAGCCGCCCCCGGACACUUCCACACGUUCCCCAGGCCCAGAGCGAGACAGGCCCAGGCCCAGGAACCGUGGGCUCCGAGACGGA